AGGUUCCCAGGGACAGUCUCGUCCCUAAAGACCACGUUCCCAGGGACAGUCUCGUCCCUAAAGACCAGGUUCCCAGGGACAGUCUCGUCCCUAAAGACCAGGUUCCCAGGGACGGUCUCGUCCCUAAAGACCGCGUUCCCAGGGACGGUCCCGUCCCUAAAGACCACGUUCCCAGGGACAGUCUCGUCCCUAAAGACCGCGUUCCCAGGGACAACCCCCACAGAAGGAAGGUGGGAGGUGCUCCUAAAGAGCGGAGGAGCGUGUCUCGGGAGCGGCCCGCCACCAGUAGGAAGGUGGUGUGAGCGGUGUGAGUGUGAGUCGCUGGGGAAGGAGAGACAGGGCUCCCAACAGCAGAGCAGCACCUCCCCCUGGCCGAGCUGGGGACUGCAGCAUCACUGAACUGCUGUCUGCUCAACACACACACGGGGUAGUAUUGGGGACUCCAGUUGGUGGUAACAGACUCCACCUGUCCUCUCUGCUGGUCAACCUCACUCCUGAGACUCACACCUGGAGUCGCCUCAAAGCUGCCCUCUCCCUACACAGGAAGACCAAAGCGUUCCUGACUCCGAAGAGGCCUCUCUACCUGCUGUCCUCUCCUGAGGCGGAGCUAGGGUGGGGC